rnacentral:antisense_RNA from 1 species
CUUGACCGAGCCGAGCCGCAGCGGCCGGUCGGCAGGCCGGUCGGCGCCGUACGUGGCGAGCACCGCCUGCGCCUC